UACGGGAGGCAGCAGUGGGGAAUAUUGCACAAUGGGCGAAAGCCUGAUGCAGCUAUGCCGCGUGUAUGAAGAAGGCCUUAGGGUUGUAAAGUACUUUCAUCGGGGAGGAAAAAACAAAACUAAUAAUUUUAUUUCUUGACGUUACCCGAAAAAGAAGCACCGGCUAACUCCGUGCCAGCAGCCGCGGUAAUACGGAGGGUGCUAGCGUUAAUCAGAAUUACUGGGCGUAAAGAGCACGUAGGUGGUUUUUUAAGUCAGAUGUGAAAUCCCUGGGCUUAACCUAGGAACUGCAUUUUGAAACUGAAAUACUAGAGUAUCGUAGAGGGAGGUAGAAUUCUAGGUGUAGCGGUGAAAUGCGUAGAUAUCUGGAGGAAUACCUGUGGCGAAAGCGGCCUCCUAAACGAAUACUGACACUGAGGUGCGAAAGCGUUGGGGAGCGAAACAGGGAUUAGAUACC
rnacentral:rRNA from 1 species